GCUGAAAUAGCUCAGUAGGGAGAGCGUUAUAUUUAAAAUCUAAAGGUCCCUGGUUUGAUCCCCGGUUUUGGCA
rnacentral:tRNA from 1 species